GACGAACCGUGCGAACGUUAUUCGGAAUCACUGGGCUUAAAGCGCGCGCAGGUGGUGCGGUAAGUCUGCCGUGAAAUCUCCCGGCUCAACUGGGAGGGGGCGGUGGAGACUGCCGGACUGGAGGGACUCAGAGGCCGGUGGAAUUCCCGGUGUAGUGGUGAAAUGCGUAGAGAUCGGGAGGAACACCAGUGGCGAAGGCGGCCGGCUGGGGGUGCCCUGACGCUGAGGCGCGAAAGCGUGGGGAGCGAACCGG
rnacentral:rRNA from 1 species